UACAGAGGUCUCAAGCGUUGUUCGGAUUCAUUGGGCGUAAAGGGCGCGUAGGCUGCGGGGCAAGUCGGGUGUGAAAUCUCAGAGCUCAACUCUGAAACUGCACUCGAUACUGCUUUGCUUGAGGACUGGAGAGGAGAUUGGAAUUCACGGUGUAGCAGUGAAAUGCGUAGAUAUCAGGAGGAACACCGAUGGCGAAGGCAGGUCUCUGGGCAUUAACUGACGCUGAGGAGCGAAAGCGUGGGGAGCGAACAGG
rnacentral:rRNA from 1 species